CAUAACUCACGGAAACCCAAUGAAGUCGGUGCUGGUGGCACCUCCAUUUUACAGAUGAUGAAACCGAGGAGAGGAGGGAGGUUGAAUAACUUGGCCCAAGGUCACUUGCUGAAAAGUGGCAGAGCUAGGAUUCACUGCCUCUGGUUCACUGCCUUGAAAGGAAGGAAAGUCUCCCCACUCCCACCACUGGGGAACUCUUCUUUAACUUUCUCCACAGUAUCAUUGGUCCGAUAAAUGAGAGGCAAGGAGAGAAACAAAGAUGGAUGUAUGUAUAAACUUAGGCAAGCAUGGAGAGCCAUGGUGAUGUGGUUAAGUGUUAGUUCUUGAGCUGAAUUGCACUGGUUAGUGUCCUGGAUUUUGAAUGUACUAACCCUGGAAAAUAAAAUUAGAAUAAUAAUAAGUGUA
rnacentral:lncRNA from 10 species